GAUGAACGCUGGCGGCGUGCCUAAUACAUGCAAGUCGAGCGAACAGACGAGGAGCUUGCUCCUCUGACGUUAGCGGCGGACGGGUGAGUAACACGUGGAUAACCUACCUAUAAGACUGGGAUAACUUCGGGAAACCGGAGCUAAUACCGGAUAAUAUAUUGAACCGCAUGGUUCAAUAGUGAAAGACGGUUUUGCUGUCACUUAUAGAUGGAUCCGCGCCGCAUUAGCUAGUUGGUAAGGUAACGGCUUACCAAGGCAACGAUGCGUAGCCGGCCCGGGAGGGUGGUCCGCCCCCCUGGAACUGGGACCCCGGCCCGGCUCCCACCGGGGGCCGGCGUUGGGAAUCCUCCCGCAUGGGCGAAAGCCCUGCCGAGCCAACCCGCGUGAGUUAUUGAGGUUCUCCGAUCCUUAAACCCCUUUAUUUGGGAAAAACAAAUGUGUAAGUAACUAUGCACGUCUUGACGGUACCUAAUCAGAAAGCCACGGCUAACUACGUG
rnacentral:rRNA from 1 species